CAGUCGCCGCGGUAAUACAGAACAUGCAAGCGUUGUCCGGAAUUAUUGGGCGUAAAUGGCUCGCAGGCGGUUUCUUAAGUCUGAUGUGAAAGCCCCCGGCUCAACCGGGGAGGGUCAUUGGAAACUGGGAAACUUGAGUGCAGAAGAGGAGAGUGGAAUUCCACGUGUAGCGGUGAAAUGCGUAGAGAUGUGGAGGAACACCAGUGGCGAAGGCGACUCUCUGGUCUGUAACUGACGCUGAGGCGCGAAAGCGUGGGGAGCAAACAGGAUUAGAUACCCCGGUAGUCCCUGUCUCUUAUAA
rnacentral:rRNA from 1 species